rnacentral:rRNA from 1 species
GGCCCUAGUGGUUGUAAAGCUCUGUCAGUAGGGAAUAACGCCUGAUAGCGAAUAACUAUCAGGUCUGAAGGUACCUACAGAGGAAGCUCCGGCUAACUCCGUGCCAGCAGCCGCGGUAAUACGGAGGGAGCGAACGUUGUUCGGAUUCACUGGGUGUAAAGGGUGCGUAGGCGGCUUUGUUCGUCAGAGGUGAAAUCUACCGGCUCACCCGGUUAGACUGCCUCUGAAACUGCAAGGCUUGAGUCCGUCAGGGGAUGGUGGAAUUCCUGGUGUAACGGUGAAAUGUGCAGAUAUCAGGAAGAACACCGGUGGCGAAGGCGGCCAUCUGGGACGGUACUGACGCUGAGGCACGAAAGCUAGGGUAUCGAACGGGAUUAGAUACCCCGGUAGUCCUAGCCGUAAACGAUGUCCACUAGGUGUUGGAGGUCCUACCCCUUCAGUGCCGCAGCUAACGCAUUAAGUGGACCACCUGGGGAGUACGCUCGCAAGGGUGAAACUCAAAGGAAUUGACGGGGGCCCGCACAAGCGGUGGAGCAUGUGGUUUAAUUCGAUGCAACGCGAAGAACCUUACCGGGGCUUGACAUCCAGGGGAUAACCGUAGAGAUACGGUCUCUCUUUUGAGUCCUUGGACAGGUGCUGCAUGGCUGUCGUCAGCUCGUGUCGUGAAAUGUUGGGUUAAGUCCCGCAACGAGCGCAACCCUUGCCCUUAGUUGCCAGCAC